UGCUGCUUAUCAAAUCAAGACCAAUGCUUGAUGUAGACUGUGCAUAUACAUGUAUAGUAUAGUAAGUAAUAUGCCAAGUUCAUGGGAUGUGUGCUUCAGCAACUCUUAAUACUAGCUUUCCUUCUUUGCUUUACCUCCUUGCAUUAUUCACGGUACUUCGGGUACAUUCUUUGAACAUGUAUUUCUUGUUUUCCAUAUCGCAGAUACACACUCAACUUCUCACAGCAUUUACAGUAUUAUUUGAGCAAUAUGACCAUAACCCGCUCUCAAGUGUGUGCUAAACUAUUACAAACUGCGAGGGCGCUGUUACCAAAUGAAGUAGUUUUGGUCACAUUAUAAGUCCAGUCUUGUUAUAAAUGUCUGUGAGACCUCCCAAGUUAGCAGACACUUUUCUUUUUUGUUGUAUUGACAAGUGCAAUUGGCAGUUGGUCAUUUGUAUGCAUCUAGGUACAUGUAUUUUCACUUGGAGGGUAAAAAUGUUUGAAAUUUGGUUGAGGUGAAAUGUCUGAAAUUCGCACUGUUAUUGAAUUCCAGACAUUUCUUUGAAUGGGCAUUUAGGCCUCUGUACAAAUUUAAACAUUCUGUUGAAGAAAGAAGAGAUUUGAUACAUUCUGAGUUCAUGGUGUUUUACAUGGAUGAGUGGAUCCAUUUUCAAAUAAGGAGUUGCUUACCCAUACCUAUCAACCUGAUUCCAGGAAAACUUUGGUACAUUCUAUAAUUAGCUUAGAAAGAAUAUCUAAAAGAACAGCAAUUCCAAAAGCUGCAUUGCACACACUUCUCUAGUAUUCAGAACUGUACUUCUCUGUCGCAUUCUUCCUAAACAACUGCACAGACUCAUCAGUCUUGUCCAUAGUUCAAAGUAUAGUAUCCAUUUCAUCUCAGUGCUUUCUGUCAGGUAAACUUAAUAUCACAGCAUUCUAGUAAAUAGGGCAGAGUCCUAUUCAAGGAGCCUGGACUACAAAUGGACAUGAUUAUUCGUAUCAAAUGGCAAGACUGUGAUUUCAGUAUUGUUCGUUUGAUUGAACUCUUCCUCUAACAGUCAGGCACCACCUGCACCAUGGUUUUGUUGCAGUCUUUUUUAUCAACUCAAGACAAACGGCAGAGUUUUGUCGGAAACGAGACCAUUAUUCACAGCAAAGCGUAUAUCCUUUCAUUUGUUUUGUCAGGCUUUGUUUGGUCCCGUCAGAAGGAAGACUACAGGAACUGGAAAGCUGAAUGGAUCUGUUCUCUUGGGGCAUUCAAUUCACCAGAAAUUACAACUGUGUGUUAAAUGUCAGAGCUGUGAUGUGAUACACGUCUUUUCUCUGAGCACUGAAUGGCCAGAUUGUAGGCAAUGGCUCAAAAUAGCAGCAUGGCCAAGGUGAUGAGAGUCUUAUAAUACUUCCAUAUGUGUCUCCAUCAUGUGGCACAGCAGGCCAGGAGUGGUGAUUUCUUGUCAGGAUUUGGGGGGGGGGGAUGGACCUUCAGCUUGCAACAUUUUGAUCUAACUACAGGGGACAUUAUCACACAUUUUGUAUGCAAAGUGUAGAGUUAAAUUUAUGUGAAAUAUGUGAUCGCAUGGUAGGGAAAACGUUGGACGAUUGAGCAAACAUCGCUUAUGAGAAGUUGCCAUUGGCAUCCCCAAGGCAAAACAAAGUACAGAAAUCUGUUUUCCUGUGGCAAAUGACGUGCCAAAUUCUUUAAUUUUGUAACCAUACAGUCUGAGUCAACUCCUGUAUCUAUUAUUUGGAAGCUAGUUCAGAUACUAUCGUGUCUAAGUGGAUCCAUUGGAGUGGUAUACUACAUGCUCAGAAUCACGCAAAUUAGUCGCAUUUAUAAACCUUAUACAUGUAUCUAUACAUUCCUUAACUGCACAUCAAAUAUGUAUGUAGUUAGAAAACAUCUCUAUUUACAAAUGAAACAAUUUAAAUUACAAAGAAAUACACAAACUUCAAUAAAUGUACAUUUACAGUUAGAAUUGGUACAUGUUUUUCAUUCAAUGGAAUUGAACAGUUUUAUCUUUAAAUGUGUAGCAAAGAAAGUUAUUUAUUAUCCAAUAUGUCAAUUACUACAUUUAUGGUACCUUUCUAUUUUACCAAAUGGAAUCAAGUUAAAAUGAAUACUUUUUCUCUGAUCACUAACAAGAAUAUCUAGAGUCUGUUUUGUUUGUUGUAACAGUUGUAUUUACGUACAUGUGUUUAACAAGUACUGAUAUAAUAAAGAGUGAAAAGUAUUUUCUGCAAGAAUUUCAAUAUUUUUUUUUGAAUCCUAAUAAAUAGCACUCUGUUUGCAUGAAGCCAAGCCUGUGUGUUUUCAUUGGCCCCGUUCUUAUCAAAACUGUGCACUUACAGAUGAAUGGGCUAGACGCAUUUACAAUCUUAUCAAUUUAAACAAAAUGUUCAGUUUUUAUCUCCAGUACGUAUGGCUGAUAGUAAUAUCCACCAUGACUCCCCCACUUUACCAUGUUGUUUUCCCUUCCAGUACGUAUGGCUGAUAGUAAUAUCCACCAUGACUCCCCCACUUUACCAUGUUGUUUUCCCUUCCACAGUGGAGUGCUGUGGCCUAGUGGCUGGAGCAUUCAAUUUGUGGUCCGUGGGUAAUCCUGCAGGUUGUGGGUUUGAGUCCAGCCUGGGGUUAUGGUGCGUGUGCCCUUGGGCAAGGCACUUUGUCACCCAUUUCUUCUCUCCACCCAGGAGUAAAUGGGUACCUGUGAGGGCAGUGUUGGUGACUGUGAGAGGUUGAUUACGGCCAAGGGUGCUGAAAUGGCUGCCUACUGGCCAUGUAUGCUCCCUAGGGAGUCGAGAAGGUUUCAGGAGUGUUUGCUCGUUGAAACAGGGAAAA
rnacentral:lncRNA from 1 species